CCCUUAGAUGUUCUGGGCCGCACGCGCGCUACACUGAUGCAUUCAACGAGUUUCUUCCUGGUCCGAGAGGAAUGGGUAACCUCUUGAAAGUGCAUCGUGAUAGGGAUAGACUAUUGCAAUUAUUGGUCUUCAACGAGGAAUUCCUAGUAGACGUAGUUCAUCAGACUGCAUCGAUUACGUCCCUGCCCUUUGUACACACCGCCCGUCGCUCCUACCGAUUGAAUGCUCAGGUGAGCCAUUCGGACUUUCAUCAUGCUGGUUUCCAGUUUUGAUGAAGGAAAGUCUUGCGAACCUUAUCAUUUAGAGGAAGGAGAAGUCGUAACA
rnacentral:rRNA from 1 species